rnacentral:rRNA from 1 species
CUCGUGUCGUGAGAUGUUGGGUUAAGUCCGUAACGAGCGCAACCCUUGUCCUUAGUUACCAGCACGUUAUGUGGGCACUCUAAGGAGACUGCCGGUGCAAACCGGAGGAAGGUGGGGAUGACGUCAAGUCAUCAUGGCCCUUACGGCCUGGGCUACACACGUGCUACAAUGGUCGGUACAAAGGGUUGCCAAGCCGCGAGGUGGAGCUAAUCCCAUAAAACCGAUCGUAGUCCGGAUCGCAGUCUGCAACUCGACUGCGUGAAGUCGGAAUCGCUAGUAAUCGUGAAUCAGAAUGUCACGGUGAAUACGUUCCCGGGCCUU